ACAAAAUUAAAUCAAAACCCUAGCCUCUCCAAUAUUCAUCUUCUUCCUCCUCACUUGGUAGCCGCCUACCUCCUCCUUCUUUUGUCUCCGGCGACUCGCCACCAAUCGGCACGGUUAAAUCCCAUCCCACGCCCAAAUUUCUUUUUUCUUUCUUCUUCUUCUUCCUUCACUUCUUCUCCCCCCUCUUUCUUCUUCUUCUUCAGCCACUUCUUCUUUCUUCUUCUUCUCCYAUUGUUUCUUCUUCUUCUUUCUUCGUCUAUUCUACUGCUUCUCACGCUAUUGAUGGCACUAUCAGUGGCUUGUAAUGAGAUAUAGUAUUUUUAACUUGGAAGUUAUUCAAACGGCUGUAAAGUUGGCCAAACAAGAGAAAAAUUUUGUGAUGGUUCGGGAUCUUAGAUUACAUCUUCUCCAGCUACUGAAGUCUGGGGAUAUAGACAUUUGCUUUGCCAAUGAGAACGAAGCAAAAGAGUUGAUAGGGUGAUCACUUUUUGAAGAUGAGGAUGAGGUUACUAAAUAAAAAAAUUAAAGAUUUCUUGGAUGAAAAGGACUACUUUGUCAAACACACUACUUUGAAGUAUCUAUUUUGUCAUACGAGAAAUUUUUGGUUGGCUUYGUAGCUCAACACAUAUGUGGAACGAGAAGUUGUAAGGGUUUGAAAUGUUUGUCGAACUGCGUACAGGUGAGCUGAAGCAUGUUGUGGCCGUUUCCAUCAAAGUUUCAUCAUAACAAAUGUCUUUCACAACCCCAAAGAUGUCGACAAUUAGGAAUGCAACUAAUUGAUGGAUGAACUUCGUUGUCAGGGUUGGUGUGUAGGGAACAUGUUUAAUUUUGUAAUUUUGUAAUUUGUGUUUGAGAAUACUAGUAUAUUCUAAAUUAAUAUAUUAGCUUCCUUGUUAAUGUUUAAUAUAGUUCAACUUUGUUAUCUAAAUUAAUAUAUUUGCUUGUUCGAUCGA